AACUAACGCUGGCGGCGUGCCUAACACAUGCAAGUCGUACGAGAAAGCCGGCUUCGGCUGGUGAGUAAAGUGGCGCACGGGUGAGUAACGCGUGGAUAAUCUGCCCUUAAGUGUGGAAUAACGUACCGAAAGGUGCGCUAAUACCGCAUAAUGCCUGGCAACACAAGUUGUCCGGCCAAAGAAGGCCUCUGUUUACAAGCUUUCGCUUCAGGAUGAGUCCGCGUACCAUUAGCUUGUUGGUGGGGUAAUGGCCUACCAAGGCUGCGAUGGUUAGCUGGUCUGAGAGGAUGAUCAGCCACACUGGAACUGAGACACGGUCCAGACUCCUACGGGAGGCAGCAGUGAGGAAUAUUGCGCAAUGGGGCGAACCCUGACGCAGCAACGCCGCGUGAGUGAGGAAGGUUUUCGGACCGUAAAGCUCUGUCGAGUGGGAAGAAGUGUAUCAUGGCUAAUAUCCGUGAUAUUUGACGGUACCGCUAGAGG
rnacentral:rRNA from 1 species